GUGUGUGUGUGUGUGUGUGCGUGCGCGUCGGCCACUUUUGGUAAGCAGAACUGGUGAUGUGGAAUGAACCGAACGUCCGGCUAAGGUACCCUACGCUUCGCCCAUUAGAUUCCCGAAAGGGCGUCGGUCGAUAUAGACGGCAGGACGGUGGCCACAGAAGUCAGAACCCGCUCAGGAGUGUGUAACAAAUUACCUGCCGAAUCGACCGGCCUCGAAAAUGGAUGGCGCUGGAGCGAGCGACCGAUGCCGGUGAAAAGUAACAACCACAUACAAUCACCAAACAUCUUCACUACUUAACACCGUCCAAGUCAACCCUCUUCACCUUUACAGCUGACAUGAAAAACCACGAGGAAAAGGCAACCAUUUUAAUUAAGCAAAAAAAAAAUUGAGAAAAAAACUUAUUGCUAUUAAAACGCUUGA